UACGUAGGGUGCGAGCGUUAAUCGGAAUUACUGGGCGUAAAGCGUGCGCAGGCGGUUUUGUAAGUCAGAUGUGAAAUCCCCCGGGCUUAACCUGGGAACUGCGUUUGAAACUACAAGGCUAGAGUGUGGCAGAGGGGGGGUGGAAUUCCACGUGUAGCAGUGAAAUGCGUAGAGAUGUGGAGGAACACCGAUGGCGAAGGUAGCCCCCUGGGUUAACACUGACGCUCAGGCACGAAAGCGUGGGGAGCAAACAGG
rnacentral:rRNA from 1 species